GGCUCAAUGGUCUAGUAGUAUGAUUCGCGCUUCGGGGUUGUUCCCAGUGAUUAUGAAAUCACUUAAAUGUGCGAGGUCCCGAGUUCAACUCUCGGUUGAGCCC